rnacentral:misc_RNA from 1 species
UUUCUGACAAUGGUAGCAUGAGUACGGUUUUGCAGAAACAAGAAAACAAAUAUUUACAAAGUGGUAAAGCAGAUGAGAGAGCCAGGCCAAAAGGUCAGCUCAUUGAAGAAGAGAGAGAGAAAGGUAGAGUUGGGUUUCCAGUAUACUGGAAGUAUAUCACAACAGUAUAUGGUGGAGCUCUUGUACCCUUUAUAUUACUGGCAGAGAUUCUCUUUCAGAUCCUUCAAAUCUGCAGCAACUAUUGGAUGGCAUGGGCAACUCCUGAAUCAAAGGAUGUGAAACCUGUCGUUAGUGAAUCUACACUAAUAUUUGUCUAUGUAGAUUUUGCUGUCGGAAGUUCUUUCUGUGUCCUCGUCAGAGCCAUCCUUCUUGUAACAGCAGGGUACAAGACAGCAACUCUACUCUUCAAUAAAAUGCAUUUGAGCAUUUUCCGUGCCCCCAUGUCCUUCUUCGAUGCAACCCCUAGUGGAAGAAUCCUAAACAGAGCUUCUACAGACCAAAGCCAGGUUGAUCUGCAAAUGGCAGCUCAAGUUGGGUCCGUUGCAUUCACC